GUCCUCGGGAGUCAUCUAAACAAGUCGGCUCUCGGCAUCGCAAGUCACUUGAGUGGGUGCCUUUUUCAGAGGGAGACGACGAGAGGCAGCAGCGAGCGGCGGGGCCUUCAGAUCGGGAGAUGCCACGUCUCAUACGUCGUGAGGUAAGAUCUCCGGUUCACUAAACCUUUGAUGAUAUUCAGCACAAACAUCAACGAAAGAUCUCAGAAAGUGUGAACCUAAAACCUCGCCUUUCUGCUGCGGC